rnacentral:lncRNA from 1 species
GUCCAAUUUACGUUUCAAUGUGGAUACUUCCUUGGGGUUAGAAAAAGUGAUAUCCAAUCCAGGUGAGAUCGCAUAGAUGAACUCUAUCUCAUAUUCUCGUGCAGCAGAGAUGAGAGUCAUAAGUUGCUCAGCUUCCUCCACUGAAUACAUCUCUCGCCAAAACAUCCUAUGUUUGUAGUCAUCUUUUGGGGCAUACAAGUAUGUAUUUAAUUCCCAUUUCUGGAGCCUUCUAAAGAGUUCUUUUCUCUGUUCCAUAACCCAAGGUCUUCCAUAAAAUCCUUCCACCACACCGCAGAGGAACCGCCGAGCCCCUCCUGCAGCCCCGGCCACCGCCGCUCCCCCAGCCCCGGCGGGGUUGUCUUCUCCGGGUGCCGGAGCUGCCGGCGGCUCCAGCGAUGCCCCCGCAGAGGCGGCAGGGUUGGAGCUGAGCUCGCUCUCCCGCUCCUCCAACGUCGCUUGACUCUCCUUCUGCACCAUCCUCCUGCCCCCGGCCGCU